CACGGGGGGGAGCAAGCGUUGUUCGGAAUCACUGGGCGUAAAGGGCGUGUAGGCGGUCAGGUUAGUGGGACGUGAAAUGCCCCGGCUCACCCGGGGACCUGCGUCCCAAACUGCCUGGCUUGAGUAUGGGAGAGGAUGAGGGAAUUCCUGGUGUAGCGGUGAAAUGCGUAGAUAUCAGGAGGAACACCGGUGGCGAAGGCGCUCAUCUGGCCCAAUACUGACGCUGAGGCGCGAAAGCUAGGGGAGCAAACGGG
rnacentral:rRNA from 1 species